CCGUAGCCCAAGAGAUCGGGAUAACACCUGGAAACAGAUGCUAAUACCGGAUAACAACAGAUGAUGCCUAUCAACUGUUUAAAAGAUGGUUCUGCUAUCACUCUGGAUGGACCUGCGGUGCAUUAGCUAGUUGGUAGGGUAACGGCCUACCAAGGCGAUGAUGCAUAGCCGAGUUGAGAGACUGAUCGGCCACAUUGGGACUGAGACACGGCCCAAACUCCUACGGGAGGCAGCAGC
rnacentral:rRNA from 1 species